rnacentral:tRNA from 1 species
UGUUUUGUGGCUUAGAAGGUUAAAGCACUGGUCUAGCAAAUAAGGAGUCGUGGGUUCGAAUCCACCAGAACGC